UCUCUAGCUUCCAAAGCUCCCUCUCCCACAAGCCAGUCUCCUGCCUGCAGAUACAACAUGCCAAGCACACAGGAAAAACAUAAAGAUUUUAAAAUCCAACUUUCCUUUUGCUCCCAGAAGGCGAACCUUGAUGAAAAGGCCAUGGCGCUGAAGUAGAGGCAGGGUUUCACCGUGUGAGCCAGGAUGGUCUUCAUCUCCUGACCUCGUGAUCCACCCGCCUUGGCCUCCCAAAGUGCUGGGAUUACAGAGGUGAGCCACCGCGCCCGGCCAAGAACUGGUUCAUUCUUAAAACUGCUUAUCAUGAAUAAUAGUUAAAAAUUAGGAAAUGUUUUGUUUUCAAUUAAUUAUUUCUAUUUUGCUUUGUUGACUUCUGUUUUAUUAUUCAGUUAAUGUGCUAGAGACUUUAAGUUUGUCUGUUGGUGUAAUUUUAACUCGUUUGAUCUUUGAUCUCUUGUUCAAGUUUUCCUACUUGUCUAUAGAGGUCCCAUCUGGCCCAGGCUGUGAGGACACCGGGCCAUUUCCACCCAGGCCUGUUCCUCUGCAUCAGCUGUUCCUAUGAGCUUCACUCUGAACACAGAUGUGGGGCUCUCCCCAGAGGAAAUUC
rnacentral:lncRNA from 10 species